CGCCUUUUGAAUUAUUAACAUAAAAGGUCCUGCCUGCCCAGUGACACUUGUUUUAACGGCCGCGGUAUUAUGACCGUGCAAAGGUAGCGUAAUCACUUGUCUUUUAAAUAAAGACCAGUAUGAAUGGCAAGACGAAACCUAACUGUCUCCCUAAGCUAGUCAAUAAAAUUGAUUUUCCCGUGCAGAAGCGGGAAUAAUAGUAUAAGACGAGAAGACCCUGUGGAGCUUUAAACUUAAGCUAACAAACUAUAAAUGCACUAGCACCAAGUUUUGGGUUGGGGCGACCGUGAGGUAAAACAUAACCCUCAAGACGAAAAAUAAGAAGGACACUUCAUACAAAUAUUAAUAACAUAAUUGACCCAAUAAUUGAUCAACGAACCAAGUUACCCCAGGGAUAACAGCGCAAUCUACUCAAAGAGCCCCUAUCGACGAGCAGGUUUACGACCUCGAUGUUGGAUCAGGACCCCCAAAUAAUGCAACAGUUAUUAAAGGUUCG
rnacentral:rRNA from 1 species